rnacentral:rRNA from 1 species
ACGAAGGGUGCAAGCGUUAAUCGGAAUUACUGGGCGUAAAGGGUGCGUAGGCGGUUCGUUAAGUCUGUCGUGAAAUCCCCGGGCUCAACCUGGGAAUGGCAGUGGAUACUGGAAAGCUGGAGUGCGGUAGAGGGUAGUGGAAUUCCGGGUGUAGCGGUGGAAUGCGUAGAGAUCCGGAAGAACACCGGUGGCGAAGGCGGUUAGCUGGGCAGUUGCUGACACUGAGGCGCGACAGCGUGGGGAGCAAACAGGA